rnacentral:rRNA from 1 species
GACGAACGCUGGCGGCGUGCUUAACACAUGCAAGUCGAACGGAAAGGCCCUGCUUUUGUGGGGUGCUCGAGUGGCGAAAGGGUGAGUAACAAGUGAGUAACCUGCCCUUGACUUUGGGAUAACUUCAGGAAACUGGGGCUAAUACCGGAUAGGAGCUCCUGCUGCAUGGUGGGGGUUGGAAAGGUUCGGCGGGUGGGGAUGGACUCGCGGCUUAUCAGCUUGUUGGUGGGGUAGUGGCUUACCAAGGCUUUGACGGGUAGCCGGCCUGAGAGGGUGACCGGCCACAUUGGGACUGAGAUACGGCCCAGACUCCUACGGGAGGCAGCAGUGGGGAAUAUUGCACAAUGGGCGGAAGCCUGAUGCAGCAACGCCGCGUGCGGGAUGACGGCCUUCGGGUUGUAAACCGCUUUCGCCUGUGACGAAGCGUGAGUGACGGUAAUGGGUAAAGAAGCACCGGCUAACUACGUG